GCCUGACUGAGAAUGUAGAAGAGGCCCCAGCAUGCAAGAACCGGAGAUUAAGACCGCUGCCCCCUCAUGACUAAUCAGUCUCCCAGCUGAAUAUUACCAAGUGACCUCCAGCAAUACCACAAGAAAGAAAAGACUCGCCUAGCUGAUCCCUGCCCAAAUUCCUGACUCUUCAACUAAUGUGGUAAAAUUACCAGACUGAAGCGACUGAAAUCUCCUCCAGAUUGCCUAACUUUUCAGAGACACUGGAUUGGUCACGAUCGCCCUGGAAACCUAUUAUCUUGCUUCUUUUCUUCAGAGGAAAAUGCCAAACCAAUGCUUGGAAUUAACUGUGAGAGGA